AUAAACACUCCCAGCCCUUUUGUCACUGGGCUGCAGCACUACAAUCCCAGCAUGCAACGGGCUCAGGGAGAGUGCGCUAAUCAGUGGAGGAAGGGGCUAGGCUCUGCACGCCUGGCUGGUCUUGCUGGGAGAUGCAGUCUCAUAAACACUCCCAGCCCUUUGGUCACAGGACUGCAGCGCUACAAUCCUAGCAUGGACCGGGCUCAGGGAAAGUGUGCGUCACUGGAGGAAGAGGCAGGGUUGUGCGCGCCUCUCUAGGCUUGGUGGAAGAUGCGGUCUCAUAAACACUCCCAGAACUUUCAUCACUGGCCUGCAGGACUACAAUCCCAGCAUGCGCCCGGCUCAGGGACAGUGCGCAUUACUGGAGGAAAAGGCUAGGCUGUGGACACCUCCUUCUGCUUGCUAGGAGAUGUAGUUUCAUAAAGACUUCCAGAACUUUCAUCACAGGGCUGCAGGACUACCAUACCAGGAUCACAUUUGAAAUCAUAGGACUGAAAAUUAUGAAGAAGAAACCUUUGUCCUUGGACUUUCUGAAAUAUGUGAACCAAACCCCAAUGCCUGCACUUUUACUCUCACAGACUUCUGACAUGAGGCACAGAUUUUUACAAAACAGCUUAACAUGGAAGUCUCACAAAAUGUGCAGAUUUCCUCAGAUCCCAAAAACAAUGGAAAAGUACUCAGACCACAAGGCCUUCACAGGAAUAACAGAAAGAAGAGGAGAACUUUGGCUGUCACUGUGAAUGCCCUGGAAUGCUAGAGGAUGAACAGGAGAAGCCUUAGAAGACUGAAGAGCAUAAUAAGCAAGGGGAAUGCUAAAGGAAAUGGCAGAGUUAUGAGAAUGACAACUUAUGACUGCUGAGAAGAGAAGUUCCAUGCUUAUCACAGCCUCAGAGAAACAAACACUGCAAUCAACUGCGGAAGCAAAGGACUACCGUGUCUGGAAAACAAUGGGAAAAAAUAUCUUUACCUUAAAAAUACACACACAAGCCCACAGAAGACACAUUGAGGACCCUGUUAAUGAAGCACCAGGAUGUACAGCCUCGCUGAUUGUUGUAUUAUCUUGUAGUAAGAAAGUGUGUACA